AGGAAAAAACAAAAAUUGUAUUUGAUUUCGACUCAAAAUUAUGGUUAUAUUAACCUUUUCUU
rnacentral:tRNA from 1 species